rnacentral:rRNA from 1 species
UUACCGAGUGAGGGCCCUCUGGGUCCAACCUCCCACCCGUGUUUAUCGUACCUUGUUGCUUCGGCGGGCCCGCCUCACGGCCGCCGGGGGGCAUCUGCCCCCGGGCCCGCGCCCGCCGAAGACACCAUUGAACGCUGUCUGAAGAUUGCAGUCUGAGCAUCUUAGCUAAAUCAGUUAAAACUUUCAACAACGGAUCUCUUGGUUCCGGCAUCGAUGAAGAACGCAGCGAAAUGCGAUAAGUAAUGUGAAUUGCAGAAUUCAGUGAAUCAUCGAGUCUUUGAACGCACAUUGCGCCCUCUGGUAUUCCGGAGGGCAUGCCUGUCCGAGCGUCAUUGCUGCCCUCAAGCACGGCUUGUGUGUUGGGUCCCCGCCCCCUGCUUCCAGGGGGCGGACCCGAAAGGCAGCGGCGGCACCGCGUCCGGUCCUCGAGCGUAUGGGGCUUCGUCACCCGCUCUUGUAGGCCCGGCCGGCGCCCGCCGGCGACCCCCCAUCAAUCUUUUCAGGUUGACCUCGGAUCAGGUAGGGAUACCCGCUGAACUUAAGCAUAUCAAUAAGCGGAGGAAAAGAAACCAACAGGGAUUGCCUCAGUAACGGCGAGUGAAGCGGCAAGAGCUCAAAUUU